UACGUAGGGUGCAAGCGUUGUCCGGAAUUAUUGGGCGUAAAGAGCUCGUAGGCGGUCUGUCACGUCGGAUGUGAAAAUCCAGGGCUUAACCCUGGACCUGCAUUCGAUACGGGCAGACUAGAGUUCGGUAGGGGAGACUGGAAUUCCUGGUGUAGCGGUGAAAUGCGCAGAUAUCAGGAGGAACACCGGUGGCGAAGGCGGGGUCUCUGGGCCGAUACUGACGCUGAGGAGCGAAAGCGUGGGGAGCAAACAGG
rnacentral:rRNA from 1 species